UUACGGGAGGCAGCAAUUAGGAAUCUUGCGCAAUGGGCGAAAGCCUGACGCAGCGACGCCGCGUGACUGAUGAAGUUCUUCGGAAUGUAAAGGUCUUUUCUGAGGGAAGAAGAAUGUGACGGUACCUCAGGAAUAAGCUCCGGCUAACUACGUGCCAGCAGCCGCGGUAAUACGUAGGGAGCGAGCGUUGUCCGAAUUCACUGGGCGUAAAGCGCGCGUAGGCGGGUUCUUAAGUUGGUGGUGAAAUCCCGAGGCUCAACCUCGGAACUGCCUCCAAAACUGGGAACCUUGAGGUAUGGAGGGGGAAGUGGAAUUCCUGGUGUAGCGGUGAAAUGCGUAGAUAUCAGGAGGAACACCCGUGGCGAAGGCGGCUUCCUGGCCAUAUCCUGACGCUGAGGUGCGAAAGCUAGGGUAGCGAACGGGAUUAGAUACCCGAGUAGUCC
rnacentral:rRNA from 1 species